GCCUGGCUGGCUUAGUUGGUAGAGCAUGUGACUCUUAAUCUCACUGUUGUGAGUUUGAGCCCCAUGCUAGGUG
rnacentral:tRNA from 1 species